rnacentral:rRNA from 1 species
AACGCGAAGAACCUUACCUGGGCUUGACAUGCACGUGCAACGCCAUGAAAGUGGUGCCCCCCGUUAGGGGCGCGUGCACAGGUGCUGCAUGGCUGUCGUCAGCUCGUGUCGUGAGAUGUUGGGUUAAGUCCCGCAACGAGCGCAACCCUUGUUGGCAGUUAAAUGUUCUCUGCCGAGACUGCCGGGAGAAACUCGGAGGAAGGUGAGGAUGACGUCAAGUCAGCACGGCCCUUACGUCCAGGGCUACACACACGCUACAAUGGCCGGUACAACGGGCUGCGAAGCCGCGAGGCGGAGCCAAUCCCAUCAAAGCCGGUCUCAGUUCGGAUUGCAGGCUGCAACUCGCCUGCAUGAAGUCGGAGUUGCUAGUAAUCGCGGGUCAGCACACCGCGAUGAAUAUGUUCCCGGGCCUUGUACACACCGAUAGC